rnacentral:misc_RNA from 1 species
CAAAUCAUGCAUUUUGCAACUUUUGAUGUUCCCAAAAUCAUUCAUUUUCACUUCUUCAAAAAAUGACCUCCAACAUAAUUCUAAUUCCUUGAAGUAUUUAAGCCCAAUAUCUUCAAGAGAAUCUUGAUGACUUAAUAAACCCUUGGGCAACCCAAAGAUGAAUCAAUGUUUUCACAUCAAUUUUAUGAUCUUUGGGAAACAAUGCACAAUGUACAAAACAGUGUUUCAAAUGUGAUGGGAAAUAAUCAUAGCUCAAUUUAAGUGUAUUUAAAAUGUGAUUUUCAUUUUGAGCUAUUUUCGAAAUAUCAUUUUUUAGAAAAGGCAGCCAAUCUCUUUCUGGAUCUAUGAAGUAUAAAAGACUUGCAAUUGUC